ACUCUUCUAUGGGCAGGCCAGCAUCAGUCCGGGCGGUUGGAGAAAGACCUGUGUCAUGUAGCUGUUUUCGGGCAGUGUUAUAGGGCAGGUGGAAUGCAACCAGCCUGGACUGAGGUCCGCGCAUCUGCUAGGAUGCUGGCGUAAUGGCUGUAAGCGGCCCGUCUUGAAACACGGACCAAGGAGUCUAACAUCUAUGCGAGUGUUUGGGUGUCAAGCCCGAGCGCGUAAUGAAAGUGAACGGAGGUGGGAACCUUUUAGGUGCACCAUCGACCGAUCCUGAUGUCUUCGGAUGGAUUUGAGUAAGAGCAUAGCUGUUGGGACCCGAAAGAUGGUGAACUAUGCCUGAAUAGGGUGAAGCCAGAGGAAACUCUGGUGGAGGCUCGCAGCGGUUCUGACGUGCAAAUCGAUCGUCAAAUUUGGGCAUAGGGGCGAAAGACUAAUCGAACUAUCUAGUAGCUGGUUCCUGCCGAAGUUUCCCUCAGGAUAGCAGUAACGUUUUCAGUUUUAUGAGGUAAAGCGAAUGAUUAGAGGCCUGGGGGUUGAAACAACCUUCACCUAUUCUCAAACUUUAAAUAUGUAAGAAGUCCUUGUUUCUUAAUUGAACGUGGACAUUUGAAUGUAUCGUUACUAGUGGGCCAUUUUUGGUAAGCAGAACUGGCGAUGCGGGAUGAACCGAACGCGGGGUUAAGGUGCCAGAAUGCACGCUCAUCAGACACCACAAAAGGUGUUAGUUCAUCUAG
rnacentral:rRNA from 1 species